CUUUGUCUCCUUUUCAAACAUAUCCAUUAACGUUUGACUAAGUUUGUUCCAUGCAACCUCCCCCAUUGAAUUUUCAAAAAACAAAAGUAAAUUAACCAACCGCGGUAGAAGACUGGAUUCUGAUAAAUCAUCGUCAGAAUAUCUUUGUACUCUGAUAUAUUUCCUUGAACAAUUGAAUAUAUGGCUCAAAUUAUCAUUCCUAAUGAUACACUGUAAUCCACCUAACUUUUGCACUGCCUUUAAGCUUGAUGGGUAAAUUAUGUACGGACAUUGUUUGUGAUUAUAUUUUAGUAACUUCUCUGCUUCUCCGAGAUCCAGCGUUUUCCCCACAUCUGUAAUAUGCCAACAGAGCAUUCGAAUCGGGUUGAUCAAUAGUCGAGAUAUAAACCAGUGCGAACUGAAUGAUUGGUGGUAAAGGCUAUUUUCAAAAUUUCUUUGCAUAAAUUUUAAAAUAAGUUCUUGUAUAGCGAUUCUCUGUUUCGGUGUAAGCGACUUUUGUCGCUGAUGAACAAAUUCUGACAAGUAUUGAAACAACGUUGAUUCAUUGUAUUGCUGACUAUGUAAUUUUGUCAGAGCGAUUCCUUUCCUGGAACAGAAAAACAAAUUUUUCAGAUGAGUAGAAGACAUAAUUUGAUACAGACCACCCAUUGCAGCUACAGCAUGU